AAGAGGUCAGAUGGAAACCAAUGAGCCGGCCUCCACAGGCCGCAUCCCUCUCCUGCUCCUUGUGUGCUGUUUCUCAGAGACACAGGCUGAAAGCCCCUCGGGGAGCUGGUGAGCGGGGCAGAGAGAGGCAGGAGAGCAGCUUAUGACAGCUGAGAACUUGCACUCCUCGACACCGCCCAUGGGCCAGCUGCCAGGCCCUUGGGCCCUGGGGCCAUCGGUCAUUUCUUCUGACCCACAGUGGUCACUGGGAUGCCUGCGAAACAGGGGAGUGAAUUGGAUGAACUCGCAAAGGCCCUUCCAGUUGGGGAUUUUAGAAAAAAACACCACCACUCCCUGAGACGUAUUAGAAAGCUCACGCAACGAAAUGGAAGGCCACGUGGGGAGUAUGCCCAGACCCCAUUGUGCCAGAUGGGGACACGGUAUGGAAUCCGAGAGAGGGGGACCAAUGUGAGUAAAAAAAAAAAUAUCUCCCACUUUGCAACACAAGACUGGAUGAUCAGCACACAGGCAAAAGCAUGAGCCAGCAGUUUGCAACAAAGCUGGCGGGCGUCCGGAAUGUUGAUCCUGUGGAUCAUGUUCCGGAGGGGAGACACCCUCCCCAGGCCAGGCUGGCGCGCACUGCGGCUAUUUCAGGCUGGGGGGGAUUAAGGUCGAACCAUGACGAAUGUGUAUGCAGAUACACACGCACACACACACUCACACACACACACAUGCUUCUCCUCUCUCCUUUCUGGUGCUGAUUCCUACGCCCAGACGCCAGGCCUGCCUCCUGUACUGAGUCUCUCAGCCCCAUGGGGCUCUCCUUCCUGGGGAGGCCCAGGGCCAGCCCGCACCCACCUUAGCAAGGAAGAGAUGGGAACCUGGGAAUGAGGACGGGGCGACACACACAGGGCAUCCUGCCCACCUUCUCCUCUGCACAGCCCCAGGACACUGCACCGCCCCCGCCCCAGCCCCUCCCCCAACUGCUGUCACUGUCUGUCUUUCCAUCUCUUUCUGCCUCUGUCUGUCUUCAGACUCACUUUCCUCUUCCUUGUCUGUGUCUCUUUGUCUUUGUUGCUCUUUUCCUCCAGUUCUUCAUCCUCUCCGCACCUCCCUCUCAAACAUGACCCUUGAGACCUACUGUACAGCCUAGGGAACUCUGCUUAAUGUUAUGUGGCAGCCUUGGAUGGGAGUUUGGGGAAGAAUGGAUACGUGUAUAUGUAUGGCUGAGCCCCUUCGCUGUUCACCUGAAGCUAUCACAACAUUGCUAAUCAACUAAACGCCAAUAUAAAAAUUAAAAGUUUGAAAAAAGAAUAUGACAGAAAAGCAAAGCAUACCCUUGAUAUUUGCCUUUCUUUCCCUCUUUCUCCCUAUUUCUCCUCCCCUCCUCAGCCUUCUUCUUGCCUCUGAUUUUUCUCUCUCCAUCUUUCUCAUCAUAUUACGUCCUUCAACAGAAAAUUAUUGGUUAACUACCAUGCACCAGACUCUGUGUGGUUACUGUCGGGUAUAGAUAUAAUAAUGCAUAAAAUCCCAUCUUUGCUCAAAAAAUGUUUGUUAUCCAGGAGAGGAAAACAAGGCUUACACAGGUGAUGAUGAUGCAAAGUCACGUGUGAUAUUUACCACAUAAAUGGCCCGCCAUGCCCAGGAGUUAGCUGAGAGCAAGGAAAGUCCAGCUUUGGGGUGGGGCGUCCAGGAGGCCUCUAUGGGGAGGGCAGCCUUCUUACUGCCCUUGGCGAAGAGGCUGGGUUCGGUCCUGCAGAGGUGUGGGGACAUCACCCAAACACACGGGCAUGGAAGAACAGUGACCAAGGAGAGCCUUGAAUGUCAGGUGAAAGGAUGUGAAAACCCUGGGGGAGCUGGUGAUGGAGUUCUUGAGCAGGAGAAGGGCUUGAACAGUGCUUUAGAUGAUAAAGCCAGCCGCAGAAGCCUAAGAGGUGCGCGGGUGUGAAAGUGUGUGUGUGUGUGUGUGUGUGUGUGUAGGAGGGCCUCGAGGUAGCCACAGAAGAGCAGAAUAGGAAGCUAUGAGAGUAGCUCAUGUGUAAUUACCUUAUUCACCCCCUGAAGCCUGAACCGAGGAGGUGGGGGCAGAGACAGGAAAUGAAGGGGCCAGUCUGAGAAGCGGCAAACAGGACCACCUCGCUAAGUGUCUUCUCUCUCUUUCAGCGUCUUUGUUUUUGUCAGAUUGUCUGAGCUCCCCUUUCUAAGCGGAUCAGAGGCCUUUCUGCAGCGGUCACCCCAGGGCCAGCUCCACUGUCAGGCACCGAUGUGAUGCUUGAGGUGAUAGAGAUCAAAGUUCCUUCCUCUUCUCUCUAAACUCAGAGGCAUUGGAUGCUGGGAUCCCCCAGGAAGACUGACUUCUGCAGACAGCAUCGCCCAUGCCUGGUUCACCCAGCACCCAUGUUAUCCUUCUCUACUAGUGUCUCCCAAUGACCCUGCUUCCUGCAGGACGAACCUGUCGGCCCCAGGACUCCAACCUUUCGGGGGCCCCUGUGGCUACUAAGCCCCCUGGCCCUCCUUUCUUUCCCCUCUACCCUGGUACACCCCCAAUGCCAGAGCUCGAGUUGGGGUUGGAGGGCCCAGAAGGGGAAACCCGGUGCCUCUCCAAGGACCUGAUUAUUUCCAAAGACUUGUGCUAAUUUUCUGAUAUGAUCCUCACAUCUCUGUGAGGCACUAAAUCCUCAUUACUUUUCCUGACCGAUGCAUUCUAAUUAGAUCAACACUUAAAACAAAUUCACAAUAGCCACAGGAUGGCUUUCCAUCUCAUUAACUCCUCACUUAUUAUUUUCAUGAAAAUUACUGAUAAAAAUGUGCAUCUCCAUUUGGUGAGGCCUCACAGCCUCCUCGGCUCCUAUCUUGCAUCUCUCCCGUCACCGGGGCUGUGCAGCGUCGCCAUGGUAACCCACAAUAAUAGAAACUAAUAAAUUACAAACGAGAUGCUCGUUGAGCAAUUAUUGUCCUCUUUUAUGCAAGUUUCUUGCUAAUUUUGAUCAUAAGGGAAAGUACAAUAAGACUCUGAAGGAAUGAGUCUAUUUCAAGAGAAUAUUAGCAAGCAGAAGCCUGGGCGGCGGAGUUUAGAUCUGUAAUAAAGUGAUUUGGUGAUUUCAAGCAAAGGGAAGAAGAGGAAAUAAACUUCCUGCCUCGUGUCUCCUGCAGUACUCACUAUUGAGUCCCCCAGAGAUCCCCUGGGGGUGGGUUCGAUGUGACUUUUGUGGUCAACAUGUACAAGACGUGGCUGGCCUUCUAGAGGUCACCCUGUCCCUUCCCCUACCUCUGCCAACCUAGAGAAAUAGAUGAUAUGUGUUGGUCCUUAAAAUUUACAGGUUAAAAAUGGCAUCACCUUUCUUUGGCACUCUUUCCAGCACAUUUCAUCAAGCAUUCUUAGAAAGUUCAGCUGUAUCCCCAAGCCUGAUUGUCUCAUGGGUAGAAGGCUACUGCAAACCUCCUGUGGGAUCUCCAUGUGCCUGUCCUGGACUCAGAGCUCAGUGGGAGAAGAAGGUGGUGAGCCUAGGGCUUAUAUAGACACCAGUGAUUGGAAAGGUAUCGCCAGGAAGCUUUUACAGUUCAUGGGUUUGGGGCAAAUAUUCUGCCCUGGAGAGAACCCAUUCUCUCCUAGAGCACAGAGUUAGUUUCCACAGUUCCCGGUUCCCAGGAUGAAGGUGGCACGUGAAUCUUGAGAGGAGGGGGUGACUUUAGGUGACUUAUACAGUGGCCCUGAACCACGAGGAGACAGAUGUGCCAGGGUGGGGUGAGCAACUACAGAAUGAUCGGGGAAAAGCUGUCCCUUGGGAAGCUUCUGUCUUCUUCUAUUGAGUGGAAUUCAGGAGAGGACCACUUCCCCCAAACCCUCCUGCCCAGAACACAAGAACUCAUUAAACCAAAGCCCCUGGAGAAUGCAAGGGGUGGUGCUGGCAUGUCUGAUUCCAUUCCCAGCUCUGUCCUGCCUCAUCCUCCAGCAAAACUCUCCGUUUCCUUAACUUUUGUGCUUAUUUCCUGCAAUUUCUUGGACCCGGAAGCCAGGAGUCACUUUGAACAUUGUCCCUCUCAGAUCUAGUCAUUUUCUAGGGAAUAUUGAUGCCCUGGCGUGGUGAGCACUGGGCUUUCGAGGGUCUGGCUGCCUGAAAAUAGCAGGAGGAAUGGACCAGAGGAUGCAUCUCAUGAUGAAAGGAUCCAGUGACUCUAAACCAUUUCCCUAAACCACGGGACCUUCUGAUACCUGGCUUUGGAGCCUGGCUAGGAGAGAGGACCCAGUGCUCCGUGUUACCUGCAGGUGAUGUACCGGUUACAAAAGUCCUUGCAGAGUUCAUUGACUUUCUCCAGCUCCAGCAGGUGGAUCCUCAGCACCUGGAUCGCCUUCACCAUCUGUGGAGAGGAAAGAUAGGUGAGCUCAGGACAAGAUCCCAAAAGUGAUCGGAAAAAAAAAUCUAUGGACAUUCUUUUGGUUCAUGGUAGAUAUGGCCAAAUCACUUUUCAAAUAAAGAUGUUGGAGCAACUGGCCAUCUACAAGCAAAACAGUGGAUUUUCACAUCUUACACAAAAAUUAACUCAAAGACCAAAACAUAAGGCAUAAAACUAAAAUUUUUAAGAAAGAAAAAAAAGAAACACAAGAGAAAAUAAUCAGGACAGAGGGCUAGGCAAAGAAGUCUUAGAUUUGACACCAAAAACAUGACCCAGAAAAGGGAAACUUGAUGAAUUGAAACUUAUCAAAGUGUAAAAUGUUUGCUCUUCAAAAGACCCUGUGAAGAAGAUGAAAAGACAAACUACAGAACAGGAGAAAAUAUAUGAAAAACAUGCAUCUGACAAAGGACUUAUAUCUAGAAUAUAUAAAGAACUCUCAAAACUAACCAGUAAAAUAACAAGCAAUCCAAUUAGAACACGGGCAAAAGACAACAUCAGACAUUUCACUGAGGAGGAUACAUAGAUGGCAAAUAGCUGCAUGAAAAGAUGUUCAGAAUUACCAGGGAAGGGUCUUCUCUGGUGGCUCAAAUGGUAAAGAAUCUUCCUGCAAAGCAGGAGACCCAGGUUCUACCCCUGAGUCGGGAAGAUCCCCUGGAGG